rnacentral:rRNA from 1 species
UUGCACGCUGGCGGCAUGCCUUACACAUGCAAAUCGAACGGUAACGGGCCUUCGGGUGCCGACGAGUGGCGAACGGGUGAGUAAUACAUCGGAACGUGCCCGAUCGUGGGGGAUAACGAGGCGAAAGCUUUGCUAAUACCGCAUACGAUCUACGGAUGAAAGCAGGGGACCGCAAGGCCUUGCGCGGACGGAGCGGCCGAUGGCAGAUUAGGUAGUUGGUGGGAUAAAAGCUUACCAAGCCGACGAUCUGUAGCUGGUCUGAGAGGAUGAUCAGCCACACUGGGACUGAGACACGGCCCAGACUCCUACGGGAGGCAGCAGUGGGGAAUUUUGGACAAUGGGCGCAAGCCUGAUCCAGCCAUGCCGCGUGCAGGAUGAAGGCCUUCGGGUUGUAAACUGAUUUUGUACGGAACGAAAAGCCUUCUUUUAAUACAGGAGGGUCAUGACGGUACCGUAAGAAUAAGCACCGGCUAACUACGUG